rnacentral:lncRNA from 1 species
UUUAUUUAUAAUUUAUGACUAAAAUUUUUUGUGAGUAGAUAAAAAUUAUUCUUACAUAAAAUAUCCAUAUAAACACACACAGACGCCCCAUAGAAGUUGUCCCCGCUACAUCCCUGGCUUUCUUCUAAUCUUCUAACGCGCAGAUAGGAACGCAGAUGAAUGCAUUUAAAACGCGCAGAUAGGAACAGUAACGCACGUGAUAGUGAUACUUCAGCCAAAAUAUCGGCAUUCGUAUCUCAUGCGCAGGUGAUAGUGAUGCCUCCGCCAAGAUAUUGGGAUUCGUAUCUCAUUCAAUAAUUCAGGGCAAGGCCACCAACAUUUAAGAUGCACAACGCAAUUACCUUGAGAAAAUGACGUGUGCUCGGUUAACUGCUUGCGCAUCGUUUCCUGUCUGAUUCCCUCGCUCUUAUCAUCAUGGGCGGAUCUAGCAUCUGACCAGUGGGGACUCAAGCUUCCACUGACAAAAAAAAAUUUAUAAAAAUAAAAGAAAAAAGUAUUUUUAUUUUCUAAUUAUUCCUCAUUAAAUUUAUUAAAAUAGUCACUAUAAAUUAUAAAUUCCAUAAAAUUUAAAGUUUAACUUUUAAAAAUUAUAAAAAUUUAUAUUUUAAUUAAAAAUAAUGAUAGCCCUCCACCUAAAAUAUUUUCUAUUCUAAAAAAUAAGAUUAAUUCUUACAUUUUUUAUAAUAAUAGUAAAGAGAACGUUUUCAGUAAUGAAACUCAUUAAUAAUCAUCUUUGGAAUUGGAUGAAAUAAAUAAUAGUUUGAUUGUUUAUAUAAGAAAUAAUAAAUUUAAUAAUAUUGAUGACAAGUCUAUUGCAUAAUAUUUUUAAAAUAUGAAAUUUCGUAGAGAAUAAUUAUAAAUGUAUUAAUAAAUAUUUUAUAUAUUCAAAAUUUUAAUUUUUAUAUUUUACUAUUAUCUAAUUUAGCCCCCGAUAAAUUAUUCUUCUAGAUCCGCCACUGCUUAUCAUAUUAUUGUAAUCAUAGUGAUUAACACACCUCCACCGUUCUUUUAUUUUGAAGAAAAAUGAAUUAUAGAUAGUUUUUUUUUUUAUAGUUUAAGCUGAGAGGUAAUUCCAAUCUUCAAUGAUCUGUCAUUUGAUAAAUGAAUAAAAAUGAAUAAAUAAAAGAUUGCGACUCCCGCGGUCCGAAUGUCCGAUCCACACUGCUCAUAUAAGAUUAUAAAUAAUAAUAUCUCAAUGGUUGAAAAGUACGUCUUCCACAGCUCGCAUUUUGACUCAUGGAUUUUUUUUUUUAAAGAAUCAUUUCGGAAUGCUACAUCCAAAUCCAAUCAAAGUUAGGCCAAAACUACAUUGAUAAUGUUAUGGGUAUUUUCAGAAAAAUUUUCUGAUAAACAUAUUUAGGCCUAUAAAUAAUAUGGAUGCUAAGUAAUCAGUAUUCUGGUUUUUUAUUUUAAGGAAUAACUCAUUUUUUUUUCAGUGUACGGAUUGAUGUUGAAUUGGGGAAAAAAUUUGGCUUUGUUUAUGUUUUAAGGUAUUCUUCUUUAUAAGUGUUAAAGAAAAUCAUUUUUUUAAUUGUUAGUUAUUUUGAAUCAUGUGCCUGAAUUAAAAAAAAUGUUAAUUUUUCUUUUCUAAGUAUCAUGAUUUGAAUAUUUAUAUUGA